ensembl:snRNA U6 U6 spliceosomal RNA
GUGCUCGCUUCAGCAGCACAUACACUAAAACUGGAAUGAUACAGAAAAGAUUAGCAUGGCCCUGCACACGUAUGACACCGAGGAGCCUGAGAGAAUUAACUUUGUUUU